rnacentral:rRNA from 1 species
CCUACGGGAGGCAGCAGUGGGGAAUCUUGCACAAUGGGGGAAACCCUGAUGCAGCGAUGCCGCGUGAGUGAAGAAGGCCCUUGGGUUGUAAAACUCUUUCGUCGGGGAAGAAAAUGACUGUACCCGAAUAAGAAGGUCCGGCUAACUUCGUGCCAGCAGCCGCGGUAAUACGAAGGGACCUAGCGUAGUUCGGAAUUACUGGGCUUAAAGAGCUCGUAGGUGGUUAAAAAAGUUGAUGGUGAAAUCCCAAGGCUCAACCUUGGAACUGCCAUCAAAACUUUUUAGCUAGAGUGUGAUAGAGGUAAGUGGAAUUUCUAGUGUAGAGGUGAAAUUCGUAGAUAUUAGAAAGAACACCAAAUGCGAAGGCAACUUACUGGGUCACUACUGACACUGAGGAGCGAAAGCAUGGGUAGCGAAGAGGAUUAGAUACCCUCGUAGUCCAUGCCGUAAACGAUGUGUGCUAGACGUUGGAAAUAUAUUUUUCAGUGUCGCAGCGAAAGCAUUAAGCACACCGCCUGGGGAGUACGACCGCAAGGUUAAAACUCAAAUGAAUUGACGG